rnacentral:RNase_MRP_RNA from 1 species
UAGUGUCUUGUCAGCCUUCUCAACUCGAACUCACACGGAUCACUUGUUGAUCAACACAUUCGGGAGGAAAGUCCCCGGACCCAGGCCAGAAAGUGGCACUCAUGAGACUAGCAACCUGCCUCUAACAGAUCAUAUAGGCCAAGAUGAACCCUGUGUUCUAGCUUAUCUGUGGGCCAGGCGAUCGUCAGAGCGUAGAAAUAGAAGGAGUUGAUCAUUCAACUAACACAACGGGGCUCAUUCGACAAGAACAUU